ensembl:snRNA U4 U4 spliceosomal RNA
AGCUUUGCACAGAGGCAGUAUCAUUGCCAAUGAGGUUUAUCCGAGGCAUGAUUAUUGCUCAUUGAAAUUAGAGUAGUCAACCAUAAUUUGCAUGUAUGCAGCAAAAAUUUAAACUUUCUCAAUAUAUUGUUUUUAGCAAUAAAUUUUA